rnacentral:rRNA from 1 species
AUUGAACGCUGGCGGCAUGCCUUACACAUGCAAGUCGAACGGUAACAGGUUAAGCUGACGAGUGGCGAACGGGUGAGUAAUAUAUCGGAACGUGCCCAGUCGUGGGGGACAACGUAGCGAAAGCUACGCUAAUACCGCAUACGAUCUACGGAUGAAAGCGGGGGAUCGCAAGACCUCGCGCGAUUGGAGCGGCCGAUAUGUGAUUAGGUUGUUAGUGAGGUAAAAGCUAACCAAGCCGGCGAUCUGUAGCUGGUCUGCGAGGACGACCAGCCGCACUGGAACUGAGACACGGUCCAGGCUCCUACGGGAGGCAGCAGUGGGGAAGUUUGGACAAUGGACGCAAGUCUGAUCCAGCAAUGCCGCGUGCAGGACGAAGGCCUUCGGGUUGUAAACUGCUUUUGUACGGAACGAAACGGUGAGCUCUAAUACAGUUUGCUAAUGACGGUACCGUAAGAAUAAGCACCGGCUAACUACGUGCCAGCCGCCGCGGUAA